CGUAAGAGUUUGUAUCCUCGGCUACAGGAUGAACGCUGGCGGCGUGCCUAACACAUGCAAGUCGAACGAAGCGCUGGGGCGGAAUUUCUUCGGAAAGGAAGCCCCUGUGACUGAGUGGCGGACGGGUGAGUAACGCGUGGACAACCUACCCCGCACUGGGGGACAACAGCCGGAAACGGCUGCUAAUACCGCAUAUGCGCACGGCCCCGCAUGGGGCUGUGCGGAAAGCCCAGGCGGUGCGGGAUGGGUCCGCGUCUGAUUAGCUUGUUGGCGGGGUAACGGCCCACCAAGGCGACGAUCAGUAGCCGGCCUGAGAGGGUGGGCGGCCACAUUGGGACUGAGACACGGCCCAGACUCCUACGGGAGGCAGCAGUGGGGGGAUAUUGCACAAUGGGGGCAACCCUGAUGCAGCGACGCCGCGUGAGCGAUGGAGUACUUCGGUAUGUAAAGCUCUGUCAGCAGGGAAGACAUUGACGGUACCUGACCAAGAAGCCCCGGCUAAAUACGUG
rnacentral:rRNA from 1 species